CUUUGUAGAGCAGGAGAAGCGGGGACAGGUGGGAGAGGAGGAGGAGGGGGUGGAUCUGCCCUUCAAGGGCUUCUCUUCUUUCAUGUAUUGUGAGAAUAUCCUGCCAUCUGUCAGGAAGUCUUUGGAAGAAACUAUUUUCGUGACAGAAAUAUUUGACCCUUACAAAGUCAUCCCCAGUCUACCUGGAACCUGCCAGUUAUUUCCUGGAUGGGAAGACUCACCUGUAUAGCCUUGGUUACAGUUACAGAUGACCUGUCGUGAUCGAGGUUCUUGAUGACAGGAUACUGCAAAGUGUCUCCC